UAGGAUGCAGGUGAGACCUGGACCAGC
rnacentral:piRNA from 1 species